rnacentral:rRNA from 1 species
AACGCGAAGAACCUUACCUACCCUUGACAUACAGUGGAGCUUGCAGAGAUGUGAGUGUGCCGAGAGGAACACUGAUACAGGUGCUGCAUGGCUGUCGUCAGCUCGUGUCGUGAGAUGUUGGGUUAAGUCCCGUAACGAGCGCAACCCUUAUUCUUAGUUGCCAGCACGUAAAGGUGGGAACUCUAAGGAGACUGCCGGUGACAAGCCGGAGGAAGGCGGGGACGACGUCAAGUCAUCAUGGCCCUUACGGGUAGGGCUACACACGUGCUACAAUGGCUGAUACAGAGGGCAGCGAAGGGGUGACCUGGAGCGAAUCUUUAAAAGUCAGUCGUAGUCCGGAUUGGAGUCUGCAACUCGACUUCAUGAAGUCGGAAUCGCUAGUAAUCGCGAAUCAGCAUGUCGCGGUGAAUACGUUCCCGGGCCUUGUACACACCGACGCGUA